CUGGCAUAUUGCAUAUUAGAGGGACCAUGGGCUAUCAUUUUCUUUUUCUCUCUUUUUUUAAGUGGAUACCGAGGUACCACUAAUUCUACUGCCGGACACUUGUCCAUUUUUUUCUGCGAGGUUGUCGAGCACUUGCUCCUUUUUAUUUCCUCGAAAUAUCUUUAUUUUUGCAUAGCCCAUGCCUCUAAUGCAAUAAUACUUCGAAAGAGUGAAUCUUUCUGUAUAAAUGUCUUGAUCUUAGGAGCAUGAUAAAUCUCUCAACAGGGGUCUAACUCAUUUUGAACAAACUUAAUACAGAGUAGAUAGCUUUUAUAAUCAUAAUUAAUAUUUUCAGUUUUAUCAGGCAUAUAAAACACUGAGGAUGGUAGCUAGAAUUAAUUUUGAAAUAAAUUCUCCAAGCAACAAUGAUAUGAAGAAUAAGAAACUCAUACUCUACCAUCUCACAUUCCAUACUGUCUUAAGUAACACAGGUUUUUUUUUUAAAAAAUGAUUUUAUAAUAGUUACAAGUUUCAGG
rnacentral:lncRNA from 1 species